rnacentral:tmRNA from 1 species
GGGGACGUCUUGGAUUCGACAAGCAUAGGCGGGAUCAGUCAAGCAAGUAGUGGCAGUCUUACCUGCACCAACCGUAUUUAAACGGAAAACAAAAUUUACAAUUCGCAGCUUAAUUGAUGCGGUUUACUAUAAACUUGUUGUCUAAGCAUUUAUAGUGGAUUCAUAAAAAAUAUUAGACCGCGUCUUUCUCCUGUGUCAAUUAGAGAAAGACAAGCCUAGAAUUGACUCGUUAUGCGAAGAGGUGUUCACUUAUUUUCAUAUAAUUAAAUUGAUUAAGAGGACUAAACUUGUAGAAAAACUGAUCUUUAUAUGCUUGGACAGGGGUUCGAAACCCCUCGUCUCCACCA